rnacentral:rRNA from 1 species
ACUUGGAAAAAAAGAAAGAGAGAUCUCUUCUCUUGUAAUUUCUAUUCCUGUUCCUUAAGUUAUUACAAGUACACUUGUAACUUCUAUUUUUAUUUACCUUUCUAUUUGUGGAGACACGUCUGUUGCAAGUUUUGAUUCGCUGAAAAAGACAGUUAGUGACGAACUUCUCCUUUGAGCAGGGAGGAGUUAUCCUAAGGUAGGUAAAGAAGAAAAUGUCUGACACUGAAGCUGGCUAGCGAGCCACUGGUUCUGACACUGCAACGCUGAUCCCAAACACAAACAGUGGAAGCUUAGAAGGUUCAAGCAACAAUAGGCCACAAAGACCACCUGGUUCAGAGACAACACGAGGUUGUCGAGAUCACGCUCGAUGUACAACGUGAUUCAGUGUCGGUCCAAGGCAUCAGGCCAGUGCCUGCGGAAGCUGUGUGGCUGACACGAGGAAGAGAUACGACAGAAGUAAGAGUACCGCUGCAGUGGCACUUAAGGGCUUGCAGUUUGUGACUGCCAAAGUUGCCGCUGAUGGUGCGGCUGCUGUGGAGAAAUCAUUCAAUCACCUACACGUUGAUGGUGUCCUGCUCCGUUCCAGGUUUGGGAAAUGCAUUGGUAGGUAACUUGAACAGUUUCAGUGAGUAUUCCUUGGAUAUAAUUUGUAGUAUAGUUCAAGUAGUGAUUACUUUUGAUUGUGUGUGCAGGGAUGAGGGAUGGAAGGGCCCGACGAGUUUGCAGUGCAGAUGUUCGAUUCACUGGCAAGGAAGAGAGGGACAGUGAAGUGCUGACCAAGGCGGAGCUGAAAGAGCUCUGGGAGCAACUCAGUCACCAGGGUUUCGACAAUCGUCACCAAACAUGCAUCGACAUGUUAGUAGUUCACUCCUGCUAAAUGUUUUUUCAUGGUUUCCUUCACUCUUGAUAUAUAGGUGCACUUUGUUCAGGGUUGACAAAAUGCUGACGGAAGAAUCACAUCCGAGGAUGUUAAGGAGGACAGUCACAAGAACCCAAACUGAAAAUAUAGUCUUAGUGUGUAAAUGUGAAGCAUAUAUUCCGCUAUUAAUUAAGCUAAUGAUGACAUGCUUUCACAGAUUAUCGCCCUUAGUGCAUCAGCAAACAAACUUUCCAAGAUCAAGGAGCGAGCGGAUUAGUACACAGUGCUCAUCAUGGAAGAAUUUGACCCUAACAAUUUGGGCUACAUAGAGGUAUGUGUAUGUCCAAGAGAAGCCUCGCCAUCUCGACGGACGAUGUCUCACCAGUAAGUAAUAACUUGUACCAUCGACCAUGUAUCCACUAAAAGUAUCGAUUUAGAUAUACUGUAUUUGUGUUUCAUUUAUACAGUAUUAAAGAAUGCACUGGAUAGAAAAAUAUGAACGGAAGUCAACGGAAAAGCAUCGGAUACCAACCCGCGUAGUGACUGCGUAGUCCCUCUUGCCUUCCACAAGCCGGCGCGCCGGUAGCGGUCAGCCUGCGUGGUCUUCCUUGGCACGGAGAUGGCGAGGCCGGCGACGUCGUCGGUGAGGAAGUUGGGGGUGUUGGUGACGCGGAUCCGGUGCUCCCGGCACUUGGGAGGUCAACGCGGUCGGUCCCCACAGAGAAGGACGGCGGCGCAUCGAUGCGGCAUCGGCGUUGCCAACGACGGCACCGAUGGCGGAGGCGUUGGCGCGAAGGAACUCGGCGCGCCCGUCGGGAGGGGAUUCCCUGGAGCGGAAGAGGCGGAAGCGAAGGUCGAGUUCCUGCUCCAGGUAAGCGUUCCUCCGGAGCAGCAGCUGCAGCACGCCCGGGGUCGCCUUCGCCAACCGCCGGGAGCACCGAGGACGGCAGCGGCUGGCUGUUGUGUGGUAGGUGGUGGCGCUCCGCGCCGGCGCCGGCCUUUUGCUAGCGUUUUAUUUUUCUUUUGCUUUUCCAAGAGCGGUGGGGAGACAGUGGAAGGAUAAGAUUUGGUGAUGUGUGAGGUGCAAGAGGGAGGCACGAGGCAAAGAGCGUCGGGCAUGUCCAGUUCUUUCUCUUUUUUCUUUCUUUCUUUAUCGAUGGC